GGAGCAUUUGAUCCUAGUUCUCAUUUCCGCUAUAAGAUAUACUUACAUGAAUGUGUGUGCGAGUGUACAUUAAAUUUUAAAAAAAAGUUUCGUAUCUCAGUACAUGGUUUUAGCUUUAUGGGGGCAAUCCUGAUUUAGUUAAUGUUAUAUAUUUCCAGGCUAAAAUUGUGCCAGCAGCCGCGGUUAGACUAGAUGGAAAAGUGGAAAAAAGUUAGUUUGUGAUUCAAAAAUUAAAUUUAUUUUUUAAAAAAGUUCCUACCUAAUAAAACAGUGGAAUGUGGUUCUUGGCAAGGUUAAUUUUUGAAAUAGAUUCAUUUUUAGGUCGUCAAGGUCUUGAGUAAAAACAGGAUUAGAUACCCUGGUAUUCUUGAUUCGAAUUUAAAAGCUUGAGUAGUAAUCAGUUAUAGGCUAGAAAUUUAAAGGAUUUGGCGGUUUUUUAGUCCAGUUAGAGGAACCUGUCCAGUAAACGAUACACCACGAAGAAUCUUACUUUACCUGGUACUUAUCAGCUUGUAUACCACCAUUAUCAGGCGUGCUUUAAAGGGUUACGCUUUCAAAGGUCUAAAAUGAUCUAUAAAAUUAGGUCAAGGUGCAGCCUAUGGUAAAGGAGUGAGAUGGGUUACAAUUUUAUUUCAGAAAAUUACGAAUAAAAGAUAGAAUUAUCUUUUUGAAGGUGGAUUUAAUAGUAAUUUUUGCUUAACAUGGUAAAAUGAUACAGGCUCUAAAGUGUGUACACAUUGCCCGUCGCUCUCGCUGAAAGUUGGUGAGAUAAGUCGUAACAUAGUAGAUGUACCGGAAGGUGCCUCUAGGUGAAA
rnacentral:ncRNA from 1 species